rnacentral:rRNA from 1 species
AUUGAACGCUGGCGGCAGGCCUAACACAUGCAAGUCGAACGGCAGCACAGUAAGAGCUUGCUCUUACGGGUGGCGAGUGGCGGACGGGUGAGGAAUACAUCGGAAUCUAUUUUUUCGUGGGGGAUCACGUAGGGAAACUUACGCUAAUACCGCAUACGACCUACGGGUGAAAGCAGGAGAUCUUCGGACCUUGCGCGAUUGAAUGCGCCGAUGUCGGAUUAGCUAGUUGGCGGGGUAAAGGCCCACCAAGGCGACGAUCCGUAGCUGGUCUGAGAGGAUGAUCAGCCACACUGGAACUGAGACACGGUCCAGACUCCUACGGGAGGCAGCAGUGGGGAAUAUUGGACAAUGGGCGCAAGCCUGAUGCAGCCAUACCGCGUGGAUGAAGAAGGCCUUCGGGUUGUAAAGCCCUUUUGUUGGGAAAGAAAAGCAGCAGGUUAAUACCCCGCUGUUCUGACGGUACCCAAAGAAUAAGCACCGGCUAACUUCGUG